rnacentral:lncRNA from 1 species
UCUGUGAUGUUUAGGUGAUUUUCAGCGGUAAUAGAGGCGCAGAAAAAAAGGUACAGCCGCACUCUGCAAGCGCUAGUAAAAAGUGCAAACGCACUCUAGAGGUGCCGGUAAAGAGUGUCGCACAUCUAUAAGCGCCAAUAAAAAGAUGCAAUCACACAUCCACCAGAACUGAUAAAAAGUUACAGUCGCACAUCUACAGAUGCUGAUAAAAAAAGAUCGUUUUAUUCUGUUUUUCUGUGCACGUUCUGAAAUCUGUCCGGAGAAGACGAGUCAAACCGACUUCGAGCUGUUUUUUGAGCCGAACCUGAGCUAUUUUAGAGCUGAACCCGAGCCUUUUAGAGCCGAGCUGAGUUGUUUUGAGCCUGAUCGAGCUGUUUUGAGUCGGACCAAGCCGUUUUGAACCGGGACGAGCCAUUUUGAGGCAGGGCGAGCUGUUUUGAGCCAGGACGAGCCAUCUUGAGCUGAGUCGAGCCGUUUUAGCCGAAUUGAGCGCGCGUACACCUCUAGUAGAUUGCAUAAUGACUUUUCAUAACUUACUUUACAAGUUGGGCAUGUACAAUAUCCCUGCACCAAUUUGAGGAAGGGGGUGUUGAAUACCAUAUUUUUUUAUUUUAUUGUUUAAUCAGUUAAUUAUUUAAUUAUUUAGUAUUAUAUAAUUAGAAUUUUAUGAGAAUAAUGAUCUCAUAUUAUUAGAAUUAUAGUAAAAUAAGAAUUUUCUUAUUAAUAGAUUAGAAAUUAUAUAAAUACCCUAAGUGUUACAACUUAAAUGGUGAGAAAUAAAUUUUUUUUUUUUUUUUUCCAAAAAUCAACAUUUACUCAUAUCAAUUUUUGGCUCCCCAUGCUAAUAGAUUUCUAAAUAGUAUAAUGAUCUUAUAGUUGUAGGUUUGGAUGCCACUUUUUCCUCAUUUAACCCAUGCUAGGUUUGCUCCUGAAACUUGUAAACUUUCAUCUUUAUACAGUUGUCUGGUUUUGGGAGGGAGUAAGCAAUAUUCCACACUUUGGAAGGGCCUAUUUUCCUAGUCUUUGGUGGAGAUGCAAAAGUUUCAAAUCCGCAGUCUUGGUUUAUGAAGAACAUUCCACAUUGUUUCUUUAAGGAAUCCUUCUUUCUACACUAAAAAUGGAUUGAGUUCCAAUCUUAUUGUGAGACUUCCAUUUUAUCGGUUUUCAAUGUUUUUCUGCACGUUCUUCCUACACCACUCACUCGUCUCUUCCAUCUUGUAUAGCUUAUCCUCCUCUAAAUUGUAUUUUUCAUUUCUUAAUUUGAUAUUUUCUUCUUCUAUCAAAAACUGAUAAUCUGGAAAAAAGACACCACAAAACACACUUUUGUGAUUAGUGACCUCGUGGAAACUUCAGAAGUAACACUACUUGAAUGGGUUGAAAUAGCAUCUGAAAAACCGUGCUCCUUAAAAUUGCAUAAGCUAGUCUUCUCAAAAAAUAAAUAAAUAAAUAAAAAUGCAUAAGCUAGUGAAAUUGCGCUUGUCCGACCACAUGAACAAAGACAUAUCAUCAAAUCGCACCUUCAAGAAACACAACAAGGUUUCUCUUCCCUCUAAUUAUACUUAAUCCCAUGAACCCUUCAAAGUUACUUUCUAGCAUCAACAUCAAUUCUAAAGACACAAACUCACCAAACCCUAAACCUAAACUUGGUUACCCACCGGAAGUAUAUCGUUCGAAAUACUAACAAAAAGCCUGUAAACUCCUUUGAAACGGAGAAAAGCGAGCUCACUGAUGCAAAAUUUACUACCGAAUGGAAACAGUUAGACUCAUUGAUAUAAAGAAGAAUCAUAAAUUCGAUUUCUCAGUAAGCACAUAGCGAAAUGGAUAUUGAAAUGAAUUAAAUUGGCAGCAUCUCCCAAUUACAGAUAACAGAAGCUGGUGAAACCUAAUGAAUAUACGGUUGCGGAGACCAGAAAGGUUACCAUUGAUAAUGAUGAGAGAUAUCUCGUCGAACUCCUGCAAGGCCGAGGAAAGAAAGAAGAUUUGCACGCAGAGACAGAAUUUCUUCUUCGUUUCUUCUAAGAAGGCAGAGAAUCUGCGUGCAGACUAUUUAAGGCAUAGCGUUGAUGAAACGCGAUUUAUUUAUUUAUUUAAUAAUAAUUUGUAAAAAGUAAAUAAAUAUCUACCUUUUUUU